GACGAACCGAGCGAACGUUGUUCGGAAUCACUGGGCUUAAAGGGCGCGUAGGCGGGGUCAUAAGUCUGUGGUGAAAUCCUCCGGCUCAACCGGAGAACUGCCUCGGAUACUGUGGCUCUCGAGGGUGGUAGGGGUAUGCGGAACUAUCGGUGGAGCGGUGAAAUGCGUUGAUAUCGAUAGGAACUCCGGUGGCGAAGGCGGCGAAUACUGGACCACUUCUGACGCUGAGGCGCGAAAGCCAGGGGAGCAAACGGG
rnacentral:rRNA from 1 species